GAGCAGGCAGCAGGUGCUUCAUUUCGGCCACUUCUUUGGGUAUUUAAUUUACCUAUAUGUCGUCAUCACAACACAUCAGGGCAACUAUGGAAAACGCUAAAAACUUGCAUCUGACUAGAACUAGGCUAAAAAACCUCAAGAGACGUGUUAGUUUGAAAGAAAUAACGUCACAAUACAUCGUAAACAAUCUAAAGCAUUACAUUGGAUACGAAAGCAGAAAUCUGGCAGAUUUGUCUCCUCCUGUGCGUCGAGAUGUGUUGCAAACUUUAACAAAUCUGAAGUGCAAGAAUAGCGAAAGUGAGAAUCUUGAGUUUUGCAGAUAUCUAAAGCAUGCAUUUCCGCUUUUACUGAGCAAAGGCGAGACAAUUGGGACUCAUAGUCUAAAUCUAGACAACCUGCUGACAUUUUGCCCAAUAUAUUUAACGGAUAGUUUUCUA